rnacentral:tRNA from 7 species
GGGUUCUUAGCUCAGUUGGUAGAGCAGCGGACUCUUAAUCCGUAGGUCGAGUGUUCGAGCCACUCAGGACCCACCA